rnacentral:lncRNA from 1 species
GUCUUCUUCGUGACAGUUGCAGCCCGCUCUUCGUUCUGCCAGAGGGAGUGUAAUUCUGUGAAGCCACCAUCAGCUAUGUUGAACAUGAACCGUUGCUUUACUGCCUUCUUGUGCCUUUCAUCUGCUGACUCUUUCAGCAUCUCUCCGUUCUGCAGCAUCACCACAUCUCUCUUAUCAUCAUCCUUUUUCUCAUCUUUCUCAUCCAAAGUGAUUACAGGGGGUUCAGAGGUAUUCUCAGUAGGUGCUCUGUCUUCCACUUUCUCCACAUCAGCUUUGCUUUCCACUUCCAUUGGCUCAUCUGUUCUUUCCUUCACCUCUGGUUCUUCUUUCUUCUCAUCUGCUUCUGUGGAGUUCACUGGGGAUUUGGCUUCCUGUGGUGCUGUCUCUGCAGGCUGGGCACACUGCUCCAUAGGGACCUCUGUGUCAUUAGCAGAGGCACUGAGUUCUUUCUCUGGUUCAGCAGAUUCUCCUUGUUCCUUGUUACUGGCUCCUUCUUCUGCCUUUAUUCCCUCUUCAGGAGGAGGGACAGGGGCAGGUGUAUUUGGCUGAGUAUCCCCUGGUGUUGAAGGAGUUGGUGUUUUGGGAGAGGGUGAGCUUGGCUGAGAAAGUUUCUUGUUCUCCUCUAUCUCUGCCAGUUCUGGCAUACUCCAGCGGCCAUUCACAUGCUCAAAUUCCUGCACCUUUUUGCGUAUAAGUG